ensembl:lncRNA
UGACUUUGGCAACACAGAGUGGCACGAUGUGGGACACAUUUUGAGGACAAGGAGCCUCCCGGCAACAGUUGAAUUGGUUGCACACCGGGUUGCUCCAAAUGUAGCCGGUACUGCAGCUGCAGGUGGAUUCAUUUCGAAUAAGCAGGCACUCUAGAAUGAGAAGCACAGUCGACUCAAACGACCCAGAGAACUUACUUUUGAAGUAUUUCUCUUCAACACUGAAUAAAUAUGAGAGAGAACAUGAAAAUACUCAAAGGAUUUGAUUAGUGGGAUUGAUUACACAUGAUGAUGAUUUCUUUCUGAAAAUCCCUCAAAUAUGGCAGCCCGAUUUAAAACUAUUAUGAAGAGCGAGGAAGUAAAGGAAGAGGUCAGGAAGAAAAGUGAUCAAAUCUCAAAGAAUGAAAUAGUCUUGAAACUACAGACUGAGACCAUAAACUCAUGUUUACAAAGUUCACCAGGAAUAAAUCAGGAGAGAAGUAAUUAGAGAGUAAUUAUCUCAUAGAGGAAAAGUCGCCCCCUGUUGGUCACUACAGAGAAUGCACUGGCAUUCUUUGAAGGAGGAGGAAUAACCAAUGACAGGAUUAGGGUUCAAGGACCAAUGGCAGGAUUAGGGUUGAAGGACCAAUGACAGGAUUAGGGUUAAAGGACCAAUGACAGGAUUAGGGUUGAAGGACCAAUGACAGGAUUAGGAUUAAAGGAGCUCCAGCGUGAUACCUGCAACCAGUUCAUUGUGGGAGAGGAUCACUGUGGUCAAGUCAGACAGUUUGAUGUCAUGUGUUGAAUUCAAAAUGGAAAGGAUCUGGUCGGCCUCCAUAGUAACAUUACUCUCCACCAUCAGCUCGGCAAUGUAGAGAUCUUCGAC